GUUUUUAUAGUUUAAGCAAAACAUUGGUCUUGUAAAUCAAAAACAAUAUAAUUAUUUAAAAACU
rnacentral:tRNA from 2 species